CUGACAACUGACAGGAAGGAUGAGGCAGGAAGAGGUACAGCAAGAGAGAGACAAGUAACACAUUUCAAGAUAUAACACCCAAUGAUGUAUCCCUCACCUCAAAAAUCAUCUGUUGUCCAACCAUCUUUCACUACACAUGAGUACACCAUCAACACUGCCAGAGAUGAGCAGUUUGGAUUCUCUGGAAUGUGAACCACUCCAAACUUAUGGAAUCCAAGUCUACCUGAGCCACGGAUCGAGUGUUCUCUCAAGACUCGAAUUCCAAAUUAAGGCCGAACGUUAUAUGUAUUCCAUAUAAGGAGCCAGGGACAGGCAUCGGCGCCAUUUCACUCCAGUCACGCUGCUAUAUGUUGUUCUCUGUGGUGUCCAUUAAAGUGGCUGUACAGAAUACAA